UUCGGGACAUUUGAAAGUUGAAUUAAGGGCCGCCGCGGUCCGCGGAUAUAUUUAUUAUUCAUAGGCAUCGUGGAUUGUUGCGUGGUGCUCAUGGGGCAUCAGUUGGUGAUUGAUAACAUUUUGCUUUGAUUUCUGAUUGCUGAUGAUUUAAAUUCUAUGAUGGUUUACUGUGCGGAACCUUCGUGUAGAAAUGGGUCCGGGAGAAGAAACAACCAGGCGCCCGGCACCAAAUAUCACGAGUUCCCUGCGGAUGAAGUGAUGGCAAGGCGAUGGUGGCAGAUCAUAAAAAGAGGGGAGCCAUUCCCGAAGAACUUCCGCCAGUAUUGUUUGUGUUCUUUGCAUUUUGUAACUGCUGACUAUGAAAGAGGCCUCAGGUCAGAACUGCUUAAGUUGCCUCCGCAGUAUUCUGCCAUGAAGCUGCUACCUACAUCAGUCCCAUCCAGGAACCUGACUCGUCCUCCAAGAGUCACAACACCAAGGAGUGGUGCUGCUACACAGAGGUGGAGAGGAAGAUGAGUCAAGGCAGGUGCAAGAAGAAGGAGAACAAGCAGCUCCCAAAGACUCAUCACUCCAAGCAGAAGAAUGCCUGCAUUCAGAUGCAUCUGUACAGACGAAGUGUGAGCCUUAAAAGUGUACCAGAUGCCCAGCACUUGAGGCUGAACUGGCAAGCCUGAAGAGCAAACUGGCAGAGGCCGAGGACGUCCCUGUCCCAUGCCGAGGACGUCCCUGUCCAGGCACUGUGGACGCGGCUGCGCAGUGUUGGAGACAUGACUGUUCCCACCGAGUCUUUCUUGGAACUGUGCAGGGAGCUCGAGACCUGUUUCUGUGCCUACCAUGCGAUGCACCCCGAUGGGCUCAGUCGAGAGCGCGGCGUCAUCCGCAACGCCACCCGUAUGAUGGCCGAGAAAUAUUCGCGGGGCGUGCAGUGUGCCAAAAUCCUGAAAGUGUUCGUUCGUGUGCGAACCUUUAUCCGCCUGCGAACAGUGAACUCGACUCGACGUGCGGAGACGCUGUCAAGCGGAAGGUGCGGAAGCUGCGUCACCACGCACAGUAAACAGAUUGGCAGAGGCACACAUCAUUCAUUACAUCACGAUAUUAUUUAUUGAUCUCUUGAGCCUUUCUUUUUUGUAACAGCUGGGUAGUCGUUCAGUUUGUGCCUGAAUCGAGUUUCCAGACCUUCUGCUAGCUACCGUCUCCACACGGCGAACUGGGU